UACGGGGGGGGCAAGCGUUGUUCGGAAUUACUGGGCGUAAAGGGCGCGUAGGCGGUUCGCUAAGUUGAAUGUGAAAACUCUGGGCUUAACCCAGAGCCUGCAUCCAAAACUGGCGAACUGGAGUACUGGAGGGGAAAGCGGAAUUCCUGGUGUAGCGGUGAAAUGCGUAGAUAUCAGGAGGAACACCGGUGGCGAAGGCGGCUUUCUGGACAGUAACUGACGCUGGAGGCGCGAAAGCCCGGGGGAGCAAACAGG
rnacentral:rRNA from 1 species